rnacentral:lncRNA from 1 species
GUUCCUUUCCACAUUGUGGAAACUUUGUUCUUUAGGUCUUUGCAAUAAAUCUUGCUGCUGCUCACUCUUUGGGGCUGCACUACCGUUAUAAGCUGUAACACUCCCUGCAAAGGUCUGCAGCUUCACUCCUGAGGCCAGCAAGACCAUGAACCCACAGGGAGGAAUAAACAACUCUGCAAGGGAGGAACGAACAACUCCAGCUGCACCGCCUUAAGAAUUGUAACACUCACCGCGAGGGUCUGCAGCUGCUUUCUUGAAGUCGGUGAGACCAAGAACCCACCAAUUCCAGACAUAAUAGCAGUGGGGUGCUGUGGGAGUAGGGGUGAACUGGAGACACUACAAACUGGAGAAGCUGGAAUAAGGAAGAACAUUUAUUGGGUGUAUGUAGAAAAGGAAGGACAAUAUCUCAGGAAGGCAUCAGAUUUUGGUGUACCAUUUAAUUAAACCAGCUAUGAAACAAGAGUGGCCCUGGACAGUUUUGGCAACCCAAACAAACUGAAAGUCAGAUAGAGACUGCAGCAUUGCUUCUCUCUCUUCUCCAGUUAGCUUAUUAGGUCCCCCAAAAUCUAUAUGGAAAUUAAGUCAGGUGCAAAUAAGAAACCCAUUAACUCACGAAAACAACAAGAAACCAUACAAAUAAAUUACAGGAAGAUUUCGUAUUUUAAAUGAAUACAGGUCAGAGGCUGUAAAACUUGAAGAAAGGAGCCAAGAUCGCCAGAAAUACAGUGGUGGUAUUAUAGCAAACAUGACUCCCUGCAAGAGGAGGAACAGUGGCCAACCCACUCAAUCAGCUGUUGCCAUGUGGGACCUGUGAAACCUAGCUACCAUGCAAAAAGUCUGACUGACUCGAGAUUACCAUAUUGUGAGGAAGUCCAAGCUAACCACAGGGAGGGGAACUGAGAAACCUAAACAACAGUGAAAACUGAAGUCCGAGAUAGAUGGCCCAAGCUGAGCCAUCAUGGGUGACACUACCAGGGGCCAAGACAGGUUCUCUCUAACAAGCCUGUCCAAGUCACAAA